GGGCGCAUGUUCUAGUGGUUAUGAAAUUUGUCUUACACACAAAAGGUCCCCAGUUCGAUCCUGGGUGCGCUCA